GAUGAACGCUGGCGGCGCGCCUAACACAUGCAAGUCGAACGGCACCCACCCUCGGGUGGAAGCGAGUGGCGAACGGCUGAGUAACACGUGGAGAACCUGCCCCCUCCCCCGGGAUAGCCGCCCGAAAGGACGGGUAAUACCGGAUACCCCGGGGUGCCGCAUGGCACCCCGGCUAAAGCCCCGACGGGAGGGGAUGGCUCCGCGGCCCAUCAGGUAGACGGCGGGGUGACGGCCCACCGUGCCGACAACGGGUAGCUGGGUUGAGAGACCGACCGGCCAGAUUGGGACUGAGACACGGCCCAGACUCCUACGGGAGGCAGCAGUGGGGAAUCUUGCGCAAUGGGGGGAACCCUGACGCAGCGACGCCGCGUGCGGGACGGAGGCCUUCGGGUCGUAAACCGCUUUCAGCAGGGAAGAGUCAAGACUGUACCUGCAGAAGAAGCCCCGGC
rnacentral:rRNA from 1 species